rnacentral:rRNA from 1 species
UGAGUGACCCCUCAUCACCUUUGUUCGGAAGCCUUGUUUUUUUCAGUCCACCUAAACCGUAAUUGCCCCCGGUGGGCGAGGUUCGCGCCAUGUGGGGAGCUCCUCCGGGGGCGAUCCGCAGCCGUUGAUUCAAUAUUGACGGUUCACAGAUCAAGCACGAGCCGUCCGCGUCUUUCGUUGUGUGGAUCGAGAUAUGAUCGAAAUGUAAGAGGUUUCUCCCUUGCAACGUCUUUUGUUCCGUAGGUGAACCUGCGGAAGGAUCAUUACCGAGAGACGGCCCCCCCGGGGCCGGAUCCUCCCAUCCCUUGCGUACCCUACCAUUGUUUCUUUGGCGGACCCGCGGGGUUACGCCCGCCGUUGGCUUCCCCGGGCUGAUGUGCGUCCGUCCAAGGCCCUCAAAACAACUCAUUUGAACGGUGAUGUCUGAGUACCUGAAUGAACAGUUAGAAAACUUUCAACAACGGAUCUCUUGGUUCUGGCAUCGAUGAAGAACGCAGCGAAAUGCGAUAAGUAAUGUGAAUUGCAGAAUUCAGUGAAUCAUCGAAUCUUUGAACGCAUAUUGCGCCCCCUGGCAUUCCGGGGGGCAUGCCUGCUCGAGCGUCAUUACACCCCUCAAGCCCAGCUUGGUAUUGGGUCCCGUCCCCCGGGGACGUGCCCGAAAGUCAGCGGCGGUGCGGUCGAUCUUCAAGCGUAGUAAAUUAAUUUUUCGCUCUGACGGAUCCGGCCGGGCCAGCCGGGCAGCUUCGCCCCCGGGCGAAUCCAUCCUACGAUUGACCUCGGAUCAGGUAGGGAUACCCGCUGAACUUAAGCAUAU